GGAAGUUAAAAGCAGUGAUAACAUUAAAGUUACCCAAUGCUGCUGUUAAGGAACAAAGGCAGCCAUGGAGAAUACAUAAAUGAAUGGGCGUGGCUCCGUUCCAAUGACUAUUUAUAAAAACAGGAGGCGGGCUGCAUUUAUUCUGCAGAUAUAACUUGAUGACCCUGGAUGCAAAGAGUUAACAGAGAUAUGGCAUGAACAUGUAUUAGAAAAAUGAUUCACACACAAUAGAAAAAAUAAGUAAGACCAGGAUUGGGUGGCUUUGGAGAAUGUAAUUUCAGCUUGAAUAUGAAGAUGCUUGUAGAACAGUGUUCCUUCCUCUGAACAUGGCUACAGAAGAACAAAUCAGUUAGUCUGAAGAUGAAAACAAGAAGCUGAUGGUAGACACAUUCUGAACUGGCUAACACAACACUCUGAAACUGGAGGAUAUCAACUGAUAAGAUAUGAAGUUCUCCCUUAGUUUCAAAUACACUGGGUUCAUAAAUUAUUGACAUAAACAAUAGAUGUCCCAUCAAGCUACCAUGAAGAUAGCUAGGUCUGCACAACUCCUCAAGUGUCGACCCCUCCAAGCACAUCCUCCACCUGGAACUGUGAACUGAAUGGAUAAAUGUGUUGGUCAGAAAGGAAUAGCAUCCAGCUGUGGCAAGAGAGAACAUUAACUGUAACUUGAAGACUGAGUCCAAGGUGAGCAUAAGAAGAAAGCUAUAGGCAU
rnacentral:lncRNA from 1 species